GACGAACGCUGGCGGCGUGCUUAACACAUGCAAGUCGAACGAUGAAGCCGGAGCUUGCUCUGGUGAAUUAGUGGCGAACGGGUGAGUAACACGUGAGUAACCUGCCCUUGACUCUGGGAUAACUGCGGGAAACUGUAGCUAAUACCGGAUACGACCCUCGGAGGCAUCUCCUGGGGGUGGAAAGAAUUUCGGUCAAGGAUGGACUGGCGGCCUAUCAGCUAGUUGGUGAGGUAAAGGCUCACCAAGGCGACGACGGGUAGCCGGCCUGAGAGGGUGACCGGCCACAGUGGGACUGAGACACUGCUCAUACUCCUACGGGAGGCAGCAGUGGGUGAUAUUGCACAAUGGGCGCAAGCCUGAUGCAGCAACGCCGCGUGAGGGAUGACGGCCUGCGGGUUGUAAACCUCUUUUAGCAGGGAAGAAGCGAAAGUGACGGUACCUGCAGAAAAAGCACCGGCUAACUACGUGCCAGCCGCCGCAGUAA
rnacentral:rRNA from 1 species